CUAAUAAUGCAAGUCGGACGGGAUCCAUCGGUAGCUUGCUAUCCAUGGUGAGAGUGGCGCACGGGUGCGUAACGCGUGAGCAACCUGCCUCCAUCAGGGGGAUAGCCUCUCGAAAGAGAGAUUAACACCGCAUAACAUAUCUUACCGGCAUCGGACGAAUAUUAAAUAUUUAUAGGAUGGAGAUGGGCUCGCGUGACAUUAGCUUGUUGGUGGGGUAACGGCCCACCAAGGCGACGAUGUCUAGGGGCUCUGAGAGGAGAAUCCCCCACACUGGUACUGAGACACGGACCAGACUCCUACGGGAGGCAGCAGUAAGGAAUAUUGGUCAAUGGGCGGAAGCCUGAACCAGCCAUGCCGCGUGCAGGAUGACUGCCCUAUGGGUUGUAAACUGCUUUUGUCCGGGAAUAAACCUCCUUACGAGUAGGGAGCUGAAUGUACCGGAAGAAUAAGGAUCGGCUAACUCCGUGCCAGCAGCCGCGGUAAUACGGAGGAUCCGAGCGUUAUCCGGAUUUAUUGGGUUUAAAGGGUGCGUAGGCGGCCCGUUAAGUCAGGGGUGAAAUACGGUGGCUCAACCAUCGCAGUGCCUUUGAUACUGACGGGCUUGAAUCCAUAUGAAGUGGGCGGAAUAAGACAAGUAGCGGUGAAAUGCAUAGAUAUGUCUUAGAACUCCGAUUGCGAAGGCAGCUCACUAAGCUGGUAUUGACGCUGAUGCACGAAAGCGUGGGGAUCGAACAGGAUUAGAUACCCUGGUAGUCCACGCCCUAAACGAUGAUAACUCGAUGUUGGCGAUAGACAGCCAGCGUCCCAGCGAAAGCGUUAAGUUAUCCACCUGGGGAGUACGCCCGCAAGGGUGAAACUCAAAGGAAUUGACGGGGGCCCGCACAACCGGAGGAACAUGUGGUUUAAUUCGAUGAUACGCGAGGAACCUUACCCGGGCUUGAAAUUAAUGGAAGAUGCAAAACCCAUCCGUCCUUCGGGACCAAACUAGGUGCUCAUGGCUGUCCUCGCUCCUGCCCUGAGGGUUGGGUUAAUCCCGCACAACGCACCCCUAUGUUAUUGCCACAUGUAUGGUGGGGACCUAACAAUGCCUUGCA
rnacentral:rRNA from 1 species